rnacentral:ncRNA from 2 species
AUUAGCUGCCGCGCGUCUGGUGCCCGUUGCAAACCAACGUGGAUAAUCGGGAACACGGUUGAAAUCCGUGACGUGCCCAACGCUGUGAGGUGGACUGGGCGGCAAGGCCACUGGUGCAAACCGGGAAGGCGCCGCUGCGGAGCGAAGCCAAGUCAGAAGACCGGCCAGACGAAACGGGCGUCU